rnacentral:rRNA from 1 species
UACGAAGGGGGCUAGCGUUGUUCGGAAUCACUGGGCGUAAAGGGCGCGUAGGCGGCUGUUCAAGUCGGGGGGUGAAAGCCUGUGGCUCAACCACAGAAUUGCCUUCGAUACUGGACGGCUCGAGACGGAAGAGGUCAGUGGAACUGCGAGUGUAGAGGUGAAAUUCGUAGAUAUUCGCAAGAACACCGGUGGCGAAGGCGGCUCACUGGCUCGUAACUGACGCUCAUGCACGACAGCGUGGGGAUCAAACAGG